rnacentral:rRNA from 1 species
UACAGAGGUGUCAAACGUUGUCCGGAAUUACUGGGCGUAAAGGGCGCGUAGGCGGCCUUAUAAGUCAGAUGUGAAAGCUCCGGGCUCAACCCGGGAAUUGCAUCUGAUACUGUAAGGCUUGAGUUCGGUAGAGGAGGGCGGAAUUCCAGGUGUAGCGGUGAAAUGCGUAGAUAUCGACAGGAACACCAGUGGCGCAAGCGGCUAUCUGGACCGACAUCGACGCUGAGGCACGAAAGCGUGGGGAUCAAACAGGAUUAGAAACCCGAGUAGU